UUUCUGCACUUGUACCUGCCUGCAGAAUCUGCAUGGCUGGUGUUUCAGAUGAGGCUGGCUUGGCUGCAUUUUGGAUGGUGAUUUAAAGUGCUUCAUUGCCACUGAGUCAUCGCUGUGCUUAGACGAAUCGAUUAUGACUGCAUCGGGAUCCUCCUGGGCAACCCUGAAGUCAGAAGGCUCCAGUGCAGGAUGACUCCAGAAUACAUACUCUUUGGAAGAAACACAUUAUUUGACAUCAGAAAAUGCGAGUCUAUGUGCUUUGGAAAUAGUACACCUUACUUUUCCCAUGUUCAAGUUUAUUGUGUGUCAGGCUAAUCUUGUGCUGCUACUGCAAUGGACUUCUAAAACUCCCUUUCAACCCUGUGCUGCCAUUUGACACCCAAGAAGAGCAGAGAGAAUAAUUUCACUAAAUCAUUACUAGUAAGGGAAUCAAAGACAUGGAUGAAAGUAGAAAUCAAUCUUACAUGAGAAAAAAGAGUAGGAACAUUACAUGUUCUGCAAGCCAGCAGUUCUCAGGCUCAAAGGGAAGUCUAGCAAGCAUAACAGAUUGAGUUGUCUGGAAAAGUCAAUGGAAAAGAAAAGAAAAUCCUCUCUCUCUUCCUUGCCAAAGCCUAUUGCCUAAACCAAGUGGUAUAUAACAUUUGAAGUCAAAGUACAUCAGAAGACCAAAAGCAUUUUAUUUCUUGGAAGAUGCAUGCAUUGACAGCAUCACCUUUCCUGUUCUAGUGAAAUGCAACCAAAUAGCUCCUGAAUGGGUUCCUGACCUUUGUCAUGAUAUCAUCAGUGGGAACUAUAGCUGGCUUGUCAGCUGAUUUGGUUAUGAUUUGAAAAGAGAAAUAAAUAUAGUCCUAAAAAUGGAUAUGCACCAACCAGAG